CGGUUAUGAAACACCCAUAUUUGCACGAGGUUUUAUUUGUCCCCACAUUGUUUCCCUGUUCCUUUGUAAAACCACAAGCAGUUUUUGUGUUUAUCACUAUUGGCCUUGAGGAAAUAGAAUAUUUUGCUUUAUUUUUUCGAUGUGUAUUAUACAUUAAAGAAAAUACAAUAACAUCUCAUGCAGUUUCAAAAGUAAAGGGAACAGUCUUUCCCAUGAUUUCAUCACCCUAAACAAACAAUACUUAGACAUCUUUUGUGCUCCUCCUAUCUUUGUCUGUAAAAAGAGUGUACUGUGGUCUUGCUUUCAUCCCUUCUUUUUCUUUCUUUUCGUCGUAGCACAAGAAGUUUUUCAUGUUGUCACAGUUUAAAUAAGUCUCAUUUCUUAUGGCCUCAUAAAGGUUCAUCUGGCAUUUUCUUGCAAGUAGACAUUUUCGUUGCUUCCAGUAUUACAUUAUUUUCAACUAAACUAUAAUGAGCAGC
rnacentral:lncRNA from 10 species